rnacentral:rRNA from 1 species
CUACGUGAGGCAGCAGUAGGGAAUCUUCGGCAGUUGGUGCAAUCCUGACCGAUCAACGCCGCGUGAGUGUAGAAGGUUUUCUGAUCGUAAAGCUCUGUUGUAAGUCAAGAAUGGGUGUGAGAUUGGAAAGUUCACACUGUUACGGUAGCUUAUCAGAAAGGGACGGCUAACUACGUGCCAUCAG